UCGAGCCAGUCCUGCCCAAUCACGCCCGCGUUCUUGCUGUCACCUAAGCACGGCCGCCCACCUCGGAGGCACGGCCACGAGACUGUGAAGCCGAGGAUUAAUCUCCCGUGACCGACGGAUUUGACCUUUUUUCACUCGGGUCAAAGGGGCGUCGUUGGGGUGCCUAGUGGUGGAUAGACAAGGCAAGCCUCUCGCACGACGACCUCCCCCCACCCCUCUCCCCCCGCCGCCAAGCCGCUACCACGACCACCAUCGCAAAGGAAGCUGCGUACCUACCUGUUACACUGGUGUGAGGAGUAAGAACAGCCGUCUCGCGUAUGCCUGAAGGACUUCUAGCGAUGGUGCCUGUUCGAGAAGUGCGAUGAAGCGAUAAAGUGUAAAGCGAGACCAGGAGCCAAACGGACGCGUUUAGAGCCGACUCGCAGACCUCGGCCCUCCCGGCGUGGUAUGUGAGGUGCAGCCGCCCCUGGUCGCGCCGC